rnacentral:rRNA from 1 species
GUGGGGAAUUUUGGACAAUGGGCGCAAGCCUGAUCCAGCAAUGCCGCGUGCAGGAAGAAGGCCUUCGGGUUGUAAACUGCUUUUGUACGGAACGAAACGGUCCUGGUUAAUACCUGGGGCUAAUGACGGUACCGUAAGAAUAAGCACCGGCUAACUACGUGCCAGCAGCCGCGGUAAUACGUAGGGUGCGAGCGUUAAUCGGAAUUACUGGGCGUAAAGCGGGCGCAGGCGGUUCUGUAAGACAGGCGUUAAAUCCCCGGGCUCAACCUGGGAAUUGCGCUUGUGACUGCAGUGCUGGAGUACGUCAGAGGGGGAUGGAAUUCCGCGUGUAGCAGUGAAAUGCGUAGAUAUGCGGAGGAACACCGAUGGCGAAGGCAGUCUCCUGGGCCUGUACUGACGCUCAUGCACGAAAGCGUGGGGAGCAAACAGGAUUAGAUACCCCAGUAGUCC